GGGGGAGCAAGGUGGAAUAACGAAACAACAAUAAUAAUAAUAAUGAAUACCAGAUCCGUCGGGUGGCCCAUAUUUAUCUCCUGAAAUAUCAGAUGGAAUUAGCCUAACUGCUCCGCUUCUUCAUUAGAAUCAAGACCCAAAGCCCAUUGAGGCUUUUGGAGCGCGGUGUUCUUGCUACCCGAGUUGGUGAGAUUAUACGUGGAGUUAUGUGCUCGGCCGCCACUCCUCUCCCUGGCCACGUUCGGUAGAGAAGAGGGGAGAGUACCGUGGGAGAAGAGAGCCGAACAUCCCGAAGCUGCGGCGACGCCGGGGCUCCUUCCGACUUGGCUCCCGAGCAGGUUGCUAUAAAUCUCUCCUUGGAUCAAGAGUGCAGAAUCACAAUGGCAAUGGCUACCUGUUGGAGGAGUAACGCCUCAUAUUCCGUGAACCCCUCUGUUCCUGGGAAGGGAUUUCCAGUGCUAAGCCAGGUGUUCGAUGCUUCCUUGGUGACAUCUAGUCCUCUCAGAGUGUGG